CAGAGACAGUUAUGGUAACGCUAACUUUGGGUGUUAGAAAGUAGAGGCUUCUCUAUCACUGA
rnacentral:tRNA from 1 species